UACGGGGGGGGCAAGCGUUGUUCGGAAUUACUGGGCGUAAAGGGCGCGUAGGCGGCGCGGUAAGUCACUUGUGAAAUCUCUGAGCUUAACUCAGAACGGCCAAGUGAUACUGCAGUGCUAGAGUGCAGAAAGGGCAAUCGGAAUUCUUGGUGUAGCGGUGAAAUGCGUAGAUAUCGCUUGGAACGCCGAAGGUGAAAACAGGUUGCUGGGGAUGUGCCGACGCUGAGACACGAAAGCCAGGGGAGCAAACGGG
rnacentral:rRNA from 1 species